rnacentral:rRNA from 1 species
GAUGAACGCUGGCGGCGUGCCUAAUACAUGCAAGUCGAGCGAACGGACGAGAAGCUUGCUUCUCUGAUGUUAGCGGCGGACGGGUGAGUAACACGUGGAUAACCUACCUAUAAGACUGGGAUAACUUCGGGAAACCGGAGCUAAUACCGGAUGAUAUUUUGAACCGCAUGGUUCAAAAGUGAAAGACGGUCUUGCUGUCACUUAUAGAUGGAUCCGCGCUGCAUUAGCUAGUUGGUAAGGUAACGGCUUACCAAGGCAACGAUGCAUAGCCGACCUGAGAGGGUGAUCGGCCACACUGGACCUGAGACACGGUCCAGACUCCUACGGGAGGCAGCAGUAGGGAAUCUUCCGCAAGGGGCGAAAGCCUGACGGAGCAACGCGGCGUGAGUGAUGAGGUCUUCGGAUCGUAAAACUCUGUUAUUAGGGAAGAACAUAUGUGUAAGUAACUGUGCACAUCUUGACGGUACCUAAUCAGAAAGCCACGGCUAACUACGUG